rnacentral:misc_RNA from 1 species
CACUGUCUUAGCUUGUACCCAGAUUUCAAACUCCAAAUUUGUACCCACAGGCCACAACUUUCUAACAAAUUAAUAAAAAAAUAAAAAUAAAAACCAUUUUGGUUACUGCAUGCAAUUCUCUUGGCUCAAAUCGAAGAAUCAAGUGAGCUGGAAACGAUGGACGAUGACAGGCCGAGGAAGAAGAGUACGAUGAGAAGCCGAGAGUGACAUGCACUUGUGGCUGGUACAAAGAAGGAAUUAAGUCAAUUGGGAAUGAAUGAAUCAAUGAAAUAGAAGAGUAGAAUCGAGAACAAGAGAAGGGAGUUGGGAUAGGGACUCGGAGACUUGUGGGUUGUGG